rnacentral:rRNA from 1 species
UACGGAGGGUGCAAGCGUUGUUCGGAAUUAUUGGGCGUAAAGCGCGUGUAGGCGGCUAUUUAAGUCUGAUGUGAAAGCCCGGGGCUCAACCUCGGAAGUGCAUUGGAAACUGGAUAGCUUGAGUACGGGAGAGGUAAGACGUACUUCGGGGGUAGGAGUGAAAUCCGUAGAUAUUCGAAGGAACACCGGUGGCGAAGGCGGCUACCUGGACCGAUACUGACGCUGAGACGCGAAAGCGUGGGGAGCAAAC